CAAAGGUUCUUAACGGGAUCCUCAUCCACUGAGACUUCAAGCAACAUUAGGCCUUCUGGAUAACACAAUCCAAAUGGCAUGGCAGUUUGCUUGGCAGCUUGGAUCUAUUGCAGAACAGUCACUUCUUCUGGACUCUUCAAAAUUGGUACCUUUUCUGUUCACUUAGUAGAUGGCUUGGAGUAGCAGGCCCAGACGUGGCACAUGUUGUAAUCCAAGGUGGCCCAAUAGCGCUUGUACAUCUUCCUUUGUGGUAGAAGGAGUAACUCCUUCUUUACCCUAGAAAGAUUAUCUUGGCAUGCCCUCCAACACUGGACCCUUAGAAAUCUUACCAUGGUGGCAGCCCCCUGCAUUUUUGUGGGAUUAUAGUUCACCCUCAGGCUCACAGUGACUUGCCAAUAGGUCUUGAAUAUUUUCUCUUUCCUGUACAUUAGGUUCAACCAGCAUUGUAUCAUCAAAGGGAUGAAUCAACAAGACACGUGGAAGAAAAAGACAAUCUAGCAGCCUGUAGCCUGGACUAUGAUAUUGGGCUGAAGAGUUGACAGACCCCUGAGGUUGGACAGUGAAGGUGUAUUCCUGGCCUUGCCAACAGAAAGCAAACUGCUAUGAUGGUAUUUACUAAUAAGUAUAGUAGAGGGGGAUAAAAAACAUUUGCUGCUAAAUAGCUUCACACCAGGUGACAAGAGAAGUGUUGCUUUGUUCCGGCAACAAAACUCCAUCUAAAAGCUCAGCUACAAACAGAGUUACUACCUGAUUAAAUUUAUGAUCAUCCACUGUCAUUAUGUAAGAUUAAUAUACCUUCUGCGCAGGCCAAAUAAGUAAUUGAAUGGAGGCAGAAUCACCACUGCUCUAUCUUUCCAGGCCUUGAGGCUGACACUAAUAUCUGCAAACCCUCCAAAAAUGCAGUAUUGCUUUUGAUUUAGUAUCUUUGUAGAUAGAGAUAGUUUUACUGACUUCCAUAUGGUCUUUAUGCCAUAAUAGCUCUCACUUGAAGGGUCAAGGAACCAGUGUGGGAAUUCUGAAAAUUUCUGGUGUCUCUAUUCCAGUUAUGUGUUCCACAUUUGAAGAAAGAACGACCCUUUGGAUUUGGGCCCAGUGGGCCCACUGUGAGAUAGA
rnacentral:lncRNA from 1 species